rnacentral:rRNA from 1 species
UGGGGAAUAUUGGACAAUGGGCGCAAGCCUGAUCCAGCAAUGCCGCGUGUGUGAAGAAGGCCUUCGGGUUGUAAAGCACUUUUAUCAGGAGCGAAACGCUGUCGGCUAAUACCCGGCGGAACUGACGGUACCUGAGGAAUAAGCACCGGCUAACUUCGUGCCAGCAGCCGCGGUAAUACGAAGGGUGCAAGCGUUAAUCGGAAUUACUGGGCGUAAAGCGUGCGUAGGCGGUUUCUUAAGUCUGCUGUGAAAUCCCCGGGCUCAACCUGGGAAUGGCAGUGGAUACUGGGAGGCUAGAGUGUGUCAGAGGGUGGUGGAAUUCCCGGUGUAGCGGUGAAAUGCGUAGAGAUCGGGAGGAACAUCAGUGGCGAAGGCGGCCACCUGGGACAACACUGACGCUGAGGCACGAAAGCGUGGGGAGCAAACAGGAUUAGGAUACCCUGGUAGUCCACGCCCUAAAGCGAUGCGAACUGGAUGUUGGUCUCAACUCGGAGAUCAGUGUCGAAGCUAACGCGUUAAGUUCGCCGCCUGGGGAGUACGG